rnacentral:rRNA from 1 species
CAGUGGGGAAUAUUGCACAAUGGGCGCAAGCCUGAUGCAGCGACGCCGCGUGAGGGAUGACGGCCUUCGGGUUGUAAACCUCUUUCAGCAGGGAAGAAGCGCAAGUGACGGUACCUGCAGAAGAAGCGCCGGCUAACUACGUGCCAGCAGCCGCGGUAAUACGUAGGGCGCAAGCGUUGUCCGGAAUUAUUGGGCGUAAAGAGCUCGUAGGCGGUUUGUCGCGUCUGCUGUGAAAACUCGAGGCUCAACCUCGGGCUUGCAGUGGGUACGGGCAGACUAGAGUGCGGUAGGGGUGACUGGAAUUCCUGGUGUAGCGGUGGAAUGCGCAGAUAUCAGGAGGAACACCGAUGGCGAAGGCAGGUCACUGGGCCGCAACUGACGCUGAGGAGCGAAAGCAUGGGGAGCGAACAGGAUUAGAUACCCUGGUAGUCCAUGCCGUAAACGUUGGGCACUAGGUGUGGGGCUCAUUCCACGAGUUCCGUGCCGCAGCAAACGCAUUAAGUGCCCCGCCUGGG